UACGUAGGGCGCAAGCGUUUAUCCGGAAUUAUUGGGCGUAAAGAGCUCGUAGGCGGUUUGUCGCGUCUGCCGUGAAAGUCCGGGGCUUAACCCUGAGCUUGCGGUCGAUACGGGCAUGACUGGAGUUCGGCAGGGGAGACUGGAAUUCCUGGUGUAGCGGUGAAAUGCGCAGAUAUCCGGAGGAACACCGGUGGCGAAGGCGGCUUCCUGGACCGAUUACUGACGCUGAGGCGCGAAAGCUAGGGGAGCAAACGGG
rnacentral:rRNA from 1 species